ACACCGUUGGUGAAGUGGUUAUCAUGCUUGCCUUCCAUCCUAAACAGCAAGCGGCUCGGGUUCGAUUCCCGAACGGUGUA
rnacentral:tRNA from 1 species